rnacentral:rRNA from 1 species
AUUGAACGCUGGCGGCAGGCCUAACACAUGCAAGUCGAGCGGAGCGGCCGACGGGGGAGUAAUGCCUAGGUCUCUGCCUGGUCGUGUGGGAUAACUUCCGCAUACGGGCGCUAAUACCUCAUACUAUCACAUGCGCCUUGGUCUGAGUAGCUAGUUGGUGGGGUAUAGGCCUACCAAGGCGACGAUCCGUAACUGGUCUGAGUGGAUGAUCAGUCACACUGGAACUGAGACACGGUCCAGACUCCUACGGGAGACAGCAGUGGGGAAUAUUGGACAAUGGGCGAAAGCCUGAUCCAGCCAUGCGGCGUAUGUGAAGAAGGUCUUCGGAUUGUAAAGCACUUUAAGUUGGGAGGCGUAACCAAAAGAAUAAGCACCGGCUAACUUCGUGCCAGCAGCCGCGGUAAUUG